rnacentral:rRNA from 4 species
UGGGUAGGGGAGCGUUCUGUAAGCCUGUGAAGGUGGCCUGUGAGGGUUGCUGGAGGUAUCAGAAGUGCGAAUGCUGACAUAAGUAACGAUAAAGCGGGUGAAAAGCCCGCUCGCCGGAAGACCAAGGGUUCCUGUCCAACGUUAAUCGGGGCAGGGUGAGUCGACCCCUAAGGCGAGGCCGAAAGGCGUAGUCGAUGGGAAACGGGUUAAUAUUCCCGUACUUGGUGUUACUGCGAAGGGGGGACGGAGAAGGCUAUGUUGGCCGGGCGACGGUUGUCCCGGUUUAAGCGUGUAGGUGUGUGUUCCAGGUAAAUCCGGUUCACUUUAACACUGAGGCGUGAUGACGAGGCACUACGGUGCUGAAGCAACAAAUGCCCUGCUUCCAGGAAAAGCCUCUAAGCAUCAGGUAACAUCAAAUCGUACCCCAAACCGACACAGGUGGUCAGGUAGAGAAUACCAAGGCGCUUGAGAGAACUCGGGUGAAGGAACUAGGCAAAAUGGUGCCGUAACUUCGGGAGAAGGCACGCUGACAUGUAGGUGAAGUGAUUUACUCAUGGAGCUGAAGUCAGUCGAAGAUACCAGCUGGCUGCAACUGUUUAUUAAAAACACAGCACUGUGCAAACACGAAAGUGGACGUAUACGGUGUGACGCCUGCCCGGUGCCGGAAGGUUAAUUGAUGGGGUCAGCGCAAGCGAAGCUCCUGAUCGAAGCCCCGGUAAACGGCGGCCGUAACUAUAACGGUCCUAAGGUAGCGAAAUUCCUUGUCGGGUAAGUUCCGACCUGCACGAAUGGCGUAAUGAUGGCCAGGCUGUCUCCACCCGAGACUCAGUGAAAUUGAACUCGCUGUGAAGAUGCAGUGUACCCGCGGCAAGACGGAAAGACCCCGUGAACCUUUACUAUAGCUUGACACUGAACAUUGAGCCUUGAUGUGUAGGAUAGGUGGGAGGCUUUGAAGUGUGGACGCCAGUCUGCAUGGAGCCGACCUUGAAAUACCACCCUUUAAUGUUUGAUGUUCUAACGUGGACCCGUAAUCCGGGUUGCGGACAGUGUCUGGUGGGUAGUUUGACUGGGGCGGUCUCCUCCUAAAGAGUAACGGAGGAGCACGAAGGUUGGCUAAUCCUGGUCGGACAUCAGGAGGUUAGUGCAAUGGCAUAAGCCAGCUUGACUGCGAGCGUGACGGCGCGAGCAGGUGCGAAAGCAGGUCAUAGUGAUCCGGUGGUUCUGAAUGGAAGGGCCAUCGCUCAACGGAUAAAAGGUACUCCGGGGAUAACAGGCUGAUACCGCCCAAGAGUUCAUAUCGACGGCGGUGUUUGGCACCUCGAUGUCGGCUCAUCACAUCCUGGGGCUGAAGUAGGUCCCAAGGGUAUGGCUGUUCGCCAUUUAAAGUGGUACGCGAGCUGGGUUUAGAACGUCGUGAGACAGUUCGGUCCCUAUCUGCCGUGGGCGCUGGAGAACUGAGGGGGGCUGCUCCUAGUACGAGAGGACCGGAGUGGACGCAUCACUGGUGUUCGGGUUGUCAUGCCAAUGGCACUGCCCGGUAGCUAAAUGCGGAAGAGAUAAGUGCUGAAAGCAUCUAAGCACGAAACUUGCCCCGAGAUGAGUUCU